rnacentral:rRNA from 1 species
GUGCCAGCAGCCGCGGUAAUACAGAGACUGCAAGCGUUAUUCGGAUUCACUGGGCGUAAAGGGUGCGCAGGCGGCCGGGUGUGUCAGAUGUGAAAUCCCGAGGCUUAACCUCGGAACUGCGUCUGAAACUACUCGGCUAGAGUAUUGGAGAGGGUAACGGAAUUCACGGUGUAGCAGUGAAAUGCGUAGAUAUCGUGAGGAACACCAGAGGCGAAGGCGGUUACCUGGACAAUUACUGACGCUCAGGCACGAAAGCAUGGGGAGCAAAAGGGAUUAGAUACCCCCGUAGUCC